rnacentral:misc_RNA from 1 species
AAGACUAUAGACCUGCGGAGUACCUGCGGAAGGAUCAUUAACGUAUCUAUGAUGGGGUGCGGAGCGCCCUGCUCCGGUCGAACGGCCGUGCAGCGGGUGCGCCGCCCCCGUCCCACCUCACAAACUCACUGUGAACAUUCACCGGUGGAGGGGGCUCGGUCUGCGCCGUGUCCCCGAUGCCGAAUACCCAAACUCCAGUUGCAAAGAACGUCGUGCGGACUCGGUGCCGCCUAAAACAUG